rnacentral:misc_RNA from 1 species
UUUAAACCAUGUUUAUUAGUGCUUUACUAAAUUUGCAUUAACUAGCGACAUCAGUUGUUGUACCAUAACUAAGUGGAUUGAAAUGGUGUAGUUUGGUUCCUUUGUCAUUCAUACAGUCAAUGUUGUUUAUUGCUUCAUUAUUGCCUUGUUUUACUCCUAAUUGUCAAUAUAUAUGUAUCUAACAUGCACAGCUAGGCACAUUCAAAUGCUUACAUGAUUUUAUAAAUAUGUUUAGUGUAAUUUAAUAUUCUUUAAUAUAACCUAGUUGUGUGGGUUCAAUUUUG